rnacentral:rRNA from 1 species
GACAGAGGGUGCAAACGUUGUUCGGAAUUACUGGGCGUAAAGCGCGUGUAGGCGGCAAGGCAAGUCGGAUGUGAAAGCCCACGGCUCAACCGUGGAAGUGCACCCGAAACUGCCUAGCUAGAGUCUCAGAGAGGAAGGUGGAAUGCUUGGUGUAGAGGUGAAAUUCGUAGAUAUCAAGCGGAACACCGGUGGCGAAGGCGGCCUUCUGGACGAUGACUGACGCUGAGACGCGAAAGCGUGGGGAGCAAACAGG